rnacentral:rRNA from 1 species
GUGGGGAAUAUUGGACAAUGGGGGGAACCCUGAUCCAGCCAUGCCGCGUGUGUGAAGAAGGCCUUUUGGUUGUAAAGCACUUUAAGCGAGGAGGAGGCUACCGAGAUUAAUACUCUUGGAUAGUGGACGUUACUCGCAGAAUAAGCACCGGCUAACUCUGUGCCAGCAGCCGCGGUAAUACAGAGGGUGCAAGCGUUAAUCGGAUUUACUGGGCGUAAAGCGCGCGUAGGUGGCAAAUUAAGUCAAAUGUGAAAUCCCCGAGCUUAACUUGGGAAUUGCAUUCGAUACUGGUUGGCUAGAGUAUGGGAGAGGAUGGUAGAAUUCCAGGUGUAGCGGUGAAAUGCGUAGAGAUCUGGAGGAAUACCGAUGGCGAAGGCAGCCAUCUGGCCUAAUACUGACGCUGAGGUGCGAAAGCAUGGGGAGCAAACAGGAUUAGAUACCCUAGUAGUCC